UGCCCCUAACUAAAGGUGGUUAGUGUUGCCCCUAAUUAAAGGUGGGUAGUGUUGUCCCUAACUAAAGGUGGUUAGUGUUGCCCCUAACUAAGGGUAGUUA